AUUGUAUUCCCUCCGUCCGGAAAUACUUGUCAUAGAAAUGGAUGUAUCUAGACGUAUUUUAGUUAUAGAUACAUCUAUUUCCAUCCAUUUCCGUGACAAGUAAUUCCGGACGGAGGGAGUACUUG
rnacentral:pre_miRNA from 1 species